rnacentral:rRNA from 1 species
AGUGAACGCUGGCGGUAGGCCUAACACAUGCAAGUCGAACGGCAGCACAGUAAGAGCUUGCUCUUACGGGUGGCGAGUGGCGGACGGGUGAGGAAUACAUCGGAAUCUACUUUUUCGUGGGGGAUAACGUAGGGAAACUUACGCUAAUGCCGCAUACGACCUACGGGUGAAAGCAGGGGAUCUUCGGACCUUGCGCGAUUGAAUGAGCCGAUGUCGGAUUAGCUAGUUGGCGGGGUAAAGGCCCACCAAGGCGACGAUCCGUAGCUGGUCUGAGAGGAUGAUCAGCCACACUGGAACUGAGCAACGGUCCAGACUCCUACGGGAGGCAGCGGUGGGGAAUAUUGGACAAUGGGCGAAAGCCUGAUCCAGCCAUACCGCGUGGGUGAAGAAGGCCUUCGGGUUGUAAAGCCCUUUUGUUGGGAAAGAAAAGCAGCAGGUUAAUACCCCGCUGUUCUGACGGUACCCAAAGAAUAAGCACCGGCUAACUUCGUG